rnacentral:lncRNA from 1 species
CGGGGGGAGGGGGGUGCUAGGAUGAAAAAUGUUGUCCUUUCUUUUUUUUUUAGUUGUAAUCUCUGUCCUGCCUUUUUAUUUUUCACUCUAUUCGGUCCUGCCUUUUCUUUUAUUAGUUUAUCCUAACUUUUUUUUACCUAAAUUGACAUCCUGCCCCUUUUUUUUGCAAAUUGUCUCAUCCUGACUUUUUUUUACUCAAAACUCCUGUCCUGCCUAUUUUUUUUUUUCAAAUUUCAUCCUAGCCCCUCUGUAUUAAUCAGUUUAAAAAAUCAAAUUACCGCUUAAACAUUUAAAAACUGUUGUGUACUUCUUCUUUUCAAUUUCAAAAUUGUUAAAUAUAUUAGUAAUGUAUUAAAAAAAAUCAUAUACCCCUAUUUCUCCUUUUAUUGAAUUUGUGUUAACCAAAUCAGCAAUGCAUAAAAAUCCACUUCCGUUG